GGUGAUGUAGCUCAGUGGCAGAGUGCUUGCCUAGCAUGUAUGAGGCACUGAAUUCAACUCCCAGCACCACACA
rnacentral:tRNA from 1 species